rnacentral:tRNA from 1 species
AUCCCCAUGAUGAAACUGGCAAACAUCUUUGGCUUAGAACCAAAGUCUUGUAGGUUCGAGUCCUACUGGGGAUACCA